rnacentral:ncRNA from 10 species
UCCUACACGCAACGGCUUCCUGACGCGUGAGGUGUAAUCAUUGGAGCA